AUUGAACGCUGGCGGCAGGCCUAACACAUGCAAGUCGAACGAGUGGCGGACGGGUGAGUAAUGUCUUGGAAACUGCCUGAUGGAGGGGGAUAACUACUGGAAACGGUAGCUAAUACCGCAUACCAUCGGAUGUGCCCAGAUGGGAUUAGCUAGUCGGGGGGGUAACGGCUCACCUAGGCGACGAUCCCUAGCUGGUCUGAGAGGGGGAGCGGCCACACUGGGACUGAGACACGGUCCAGACUCCGACGGGAGGCAGCAGUGGGGAAUAUUGCACAAUGGGCGCAAGCCUGAUGCAGCCAUGCCGCGUGUAUGAAGAAGGCCUUCGGGUUGUAAAGUACUGUCAGCGGAGAGGCGUUACCCGCAGAAGAAGCACCGGCUAACUCCGUGCCAGCAGCCGCGGUAAUUC
rnacentral:rRNA from 1 species